AGGAAUUGACGGGGGCCCGCACAAGCGGCGGAGCAUGCGGAUUAAUUCGAUGCAACGCGAAGAACCUUACCAAGGCUUGACAUAUACCGGAAAAGCGUAGAAAUAUGCUCCCCGCAAGGUCGGUAUACAGGUGGUGCAUGGUUGUCGUCAGCUCGUGUCGUGAGAUGUUGGGUUAAGUCCCGCAACGAGCGCAACCCUCGUUCUAUGUUGCCAGCACGUAAUGGUGGGAACUCAUGGAAGACUGCCGGGGUCAACUCGGAGGAAGGUGGGGAUGACGUCAAAUCAUCAUGCCCCUUAUGUCUUGGGCUUCACGCAUGCUACAAUGGCCGAUACAGAGGGCUGCAAUACCGCAAGGUGGAGCGAAUCCCAAAAAGUCGGUCUCAGUUCGGAUUGGGGUCUGCAACUCGACCCCAUGAAGUCGGAGUCGCUAGUAAUCGCAGAUCAGCAACGCUGCGGUGAAUACGUUCCCGGGCCUUGUACACACCGCCCGUCAAGUCAUGAAAUCGGUAACACCCGAUAGCCAGUGGCCUAACCGUAAGGAUGGAGCUGUCGAAGGUG
rnacentral:rRNA from 1 species